rnacentral:rRNA from 1 species
AUUGAACGCUGGCGGCAGGCCUAACACAUGCAAGUCGAACGAGUGGCGGACGGGUGAGUAAUGUCUGGGAAACUGCCCGAUGGAGGGGGAUAACUACUGGAAACGGUAGCUAAUACCGCAUACCAUCGGAUGUGCCCAGAUGGGAUUAGAUAGUAGGUGGGGUAACGGCUCACUUAGGCGACGAUCCCUAGCUGGUAUGAGAGGAUGACCAGCCUCACUGGAACUGGGACACGUGCCAGACUCCUACGGGAGGUAGCAUUGGGGAAUAUUGCACAAUGGGCUAAAGCCUGAUGCAGCCAUGCAGCGUGUAUGAAGAAGGCCUUCGGGUUUUAAAGUACUUUAAGCGAGGAGGCGUUACUCGCAGAAGAAGCACCGGCUAACUCCGUGCCAGCAGCCGCGGUAAUAC